GAUGAACGCUGGCGGCGUGCCUAAUACAUGCAAGUCGAGCGAACGGAUGAGAAGCUUGCUUCUCUGAUGUUAGCGGCGGACGGGUGAGUAACACGUGGAUAACCUACCUAUAAGACUGGGAUAACUUCGGGAAACCGGAGCUAAUACCGGAUAAUAUUUUGAACCGCAUGGUUCAAAAGUGAAAGACGGUUUUGCUGUCACUUAUAGAUGGAUCCGCGCUGCAUUAGCUAGUUGGUAAGGUAACGGCUUACCAAGGCAACGAUGCAUAGCCGACCUGAGAGGGUGAUCGGCCACACUGGAACUGAGACACGGUCCAGACUCCUACGGGAGGCAGCAGUAGGGAAUCUUCCGCAAUGGGCGAAAGCCUGACGGAGCAACGCCGCGUGAGUGAUGAAGGUCUUCGGAUCGUAAAACUCUGUUAUUAGGGAAGAACAUAUGUGUAAGUAACUGUGCACAUCUUGAGGGUACCUAAUCAGAAAGCCACGGCUAACUACGUG
rnacentral:rRNA from 1 species